GCUUACACAUGCAAGUCGAACGAUGAAGCCCAGCUUGCUGGGUGGAUUAGUGGCGAACGGGUGAGUAACACGUGGGUGAUCUGCCCUGCACUUCGGGAUAAGCCUGGGAAACUGGGUCUAAUACCGGAUAGGACCUCGGGAUGCAUGUUCCGGGGUGGAAAGGUUUUCCGGUGCAGGAUGGGCCCGCGGCCUAUCAGCUUGUUGGUGGGGUAACGGCCCACCAAGGCGACGACGGGUAGCCGGCCUGAGAGGGCGACCGGCCACACUGGGACUGAGACACGGCCCAGACUCCUACGGGAGGCAGCAGUGGGGAAUAUUGCACAAUGGGCGCAAGCCUGAUGCAGCGACGCCGCGUGAGGGAUGACGGCCUUCGGGUUGUAAACCUCUUUCAGUACCGACGAAGCGCAAGUGACGGUAGGUACAGAAGAAGCACCGGCCAACUACGUGCCAGCAGCCGCGGUAAUACGUAGGGUGCGAGCGUUGUCCGGAAUUACUGGGCGUAAAGAGCUCGUAGGCGGUUUGUCGCGUCGUCUGUGAAAACCCGCAGCUCAACUGCGGGCUUGCAGGCGAUACGGGCAGACUUGAGUACUGCAGGGGAGACUGGAAUUCCUGGUGUAGCGGUGAAAUGCGCAGAUAUCAGGAGGAACACCGGUGGCGAAGGCGGGUCUCUGGGCAGUAACUGACGCUGAGGAGCGAAAGCGUGGGUAGCGAACAGGAUUAGAUACCCUGGUAGUCCACGCCGUAAACGGUGGGCGCUAGGUGUGGGUUUCCUUCCACGGGAUCCGUGCCGUAGCUAACGC
rnacentral:rRNA from 1 species